GCCGAUGUAGCUCAACGGAUAGAGCAAGCCCGUCCUAAGGGCGAGAUUGAGAGUUCGAUUCUCUCCAUCGGUG
rnacentral:tRNA from 1 species